ACGUGACUCGACGCGACGCACGAUGCGACGCUUUGGCGAUUUAGCUCCAUGACGUUGCGUGUAUGCUCAUAAAGCUAGAUUACCAAAGCAUCGCGUCGAUGCAAAUAUCAUCAGAAGACA
rnacentral:precursor_RNA from 12 species